AACACAUUCCUUAGAUCCACCUUUGGGAUGUAUCUGUCUUGCUGUUCUGUAUCAUUCCAUAUGAUGGGUUUUCCAGAAUGGUUAGCAGGUCAUCCACAACUUUCAUGGUUGUAUAGUCAAAGGUGCUUGAGUCAUUGAUGUGUGAGAAUAAUCUACCUGCAUGUUGGCCUUGCCUGUUCCAGUGUGAAUAGUCUGCGUAAUGCCGGCUGUUUACUACCACUGGGACUCGGCUGAUUUGCGGACAUU